UCUUAUUUAGGAAGAAAAUAAGAACUUUGUUGGUGUUUUACAGAAGGGAAGUCUGUGCAAGAAAUGGUGGAUGAAGCUCUUCGACAUGUCCCAAAUAAUGAUGGGGACAAAAACAUUGAAAUGGUUAAUCAAAUUAGGGACUCAUUGGCCAUUAUGGGUGAUAACAGAACAGC